rnacentral:misc_RNA from 1 species
GGAAGUAAAAGCCGUAACAAGGUUUCCGUAGGUGAACCUGCGGAAGGAUCAUUAUUGUAUAACCGAGGUGCGAGGGCUGUCGCUGACCCGAAAGGUCGUGCACGCCCGAGUGCCCUCACACACAUCCAUCUCACCCCUAUGUGCACCACCGCGUGGGUCCCCCUUUGGCUUGUUCGGAGGGGGGCUUACGUUUUCACACAAACUUUGUAUGCAGUGUAGAAUGUAUUUUUUGUUUUUGCGAUCACGCAAUCAACACAACUUUCAACAACGGAUCUCUUGGCUCUC